rnacentral:rRNA from 1 species
UACGUAGGGCGCAAGCGUUGUCCGGAAUUAUUGGGCGUAAAGAGCUCGUAGGCGGUUUGUCGAGUCUGUCGUGAAAGCCCACGGCUUAACCGUGGGUCUGCGGUGGAUACGGGCAGACUAGAGGCAGGUAGGGGAGAAUGGAAUUCCCGGUGGAGCGGUGAAAUGCGCAGAUAUCGGGAGGAACACCGGUGGCGAAGGCGGUUCUCUGGGCCUGUACUGACGCUGAGGAGCGAAAGCGUGGGGAGCGAACAGG